AUCAAUUGGACUGUGUCCUUUCAGAUGUUCACUGUUCAGCACACGCGCGCACAGCUGUGACGUUUUUCUGUGUUUAGCAAAACUGCUCUUGACAACGUCGCUGCUACCGCUGAGAGGAUUUUAAAAUCGUGAUCUGCCAUAUGCUAUUUUUCCUCAUUAAAACAUACAGCGACUGUAUGAGGAAUUAUAUUGCAACGCGUCUUCCGUUUUGAUGUUGUUUGUAAAAAAAUUAAUUUUAGUGCGAAUGAAGUCUAUAGGUGGAUGUUGCAUCAGGCACGUUACAGACGAAUUUAAACGGAUUUAACGGGUGUAUCUUGUACUUUUGAUGUAAAACUCUGGUUAGUGUAAUGAUCUCGGUGUACGGAUCGAGUGGUAGAUUAGCUGCGUCGCUGAUAUUCACGUUUGUCAGCGUGUUUGUAUUGUGUGAAUAUGUGAUUUAUUAUCCUGUUAUUCUGCGAUGCUCAUGGCCUCAUAUUGAGACUGUAAAUUCACACUUACCUUUACGGGCGUUAUUUCUCUCCGAUACUCACUUACUAGGGGCCAUCAAAGGACACUGGCUCGACAAACUCAGAAGAGAAUGGCAGAUGGAAAGGGCAUUCCAGACAUCUCUGUGGCUUCUAAAUCCAGAAAUUGUCUUCAUUUUAGGAGAUGUAUUUGAUGAGGGCAAGUGGAGCUCCAGUCAGGAAUUAUAUCCUCCGCUGGGUCCAGACGUUCUUCAAAAUGCAAACAUUCGUCAUCCGAGUCAUGUUCUUCCUCUGCAUCUUCCUCGCUGUCCAGAAUCAUCAGAAGUUCUUCUUCACCCGUGUAGCAUGCAAACGUGCAGACAAAAGUAAGUAAUUCUAUGAUGAAGCUUGACGUUUUAUGCCAUUUCUUAGGGGCGUGUACAUGAUUACCUGAAUCACCUCAGUUAAUUUCCAUUUGAACAGCGCGCUCAGAGCGAGGUGGGAACACAUUAUCUAUAAUGAGUCGAUACAGGAGAAACCGGACAACUCCUUGCUUUCAUACGGAUUACAUAAAAAUAGAUAAUUUUUUUGGUUAAUUCAAAAGUAGACAUUUCAAGCUCUCUAUGCAUAUAUUUAUCUUGUCUUUGAGGCAAGUAUUCGCUGAGAUUCGGGUUGUUUUAUUUAUGUGUCUGUGAAGAGAGAGUUAUCUGUACGAUCAAAACUGAAAGUGUAAUUUAAGUUCUUUUCGGCCUUUUCAGGAGAUUAUGCCACAAAACACGUAUCUGCGUUUGUCGGCCCCUAAGUGUUAAGCAUGCUUCACUUUGUCAGACAGGUUUUAAGUUAUUUCUUGAUUCAACAGGUCUGGCAGUAAUCAGGCCUUGAUGUGGCUAGUAAAAUUUAACUCAGCUUGAUGAUCUGAAUUUUUUUAAGUGUUACAAAUAUGCAAAAAAUAUAAAAAAACAGGAAGGGGGCAAAAACAUUUUCACGGCACUGUAGGUGUAUUCAUGGGUAUGUUGGAGGACCUUACUGUGCGUUCACACCAGACGCGACUUGCGCGAAGUUUGACGCUUGAACAUUUUGAGUUUACUCGCUUCAUUGGUGCGUCAAAUUCACUUCACAACAGACACAAAUUUGCGUCAUGGGAGGGGCUUCUGCCAAUUGAGUUCAAUCAGCAUUGUGAUUUCAACCACCAUUUAUUUGGAUCAUUUUCAAAAUAUUACUGUUAUCGUGUCAUGAAAUGUAAUUUUAAAAGUAUUUCAGGUGAGAACGUAGUUGUUUAAAACUCAAACAUGCGGUUUAUUUAUAAAGACAGCACCUAUUUAAAAAUGUGUUUCGCCGAUGUCGGAGACGAGCAGUUCCACUCGAUCAGCGGGAGCUCAGUGCUCAUGUCGGCUAGUCCUUCUGACAUUUGCCGCUGGCUCUGAUGUCUCUUUAGUGGUUAAACAUAAAAUAUAAUUCAUUUUGGGUAAAUCUAAUGGGUAAUCUUUGGUCUUUAUUCAAUUAAUCUAUUAAUAUGUUAAAGUGAAAAUAAAAAGAUGCAGUACUGUUUGAUAUAAUAUUUCGUUUCAUUUUAGGCUAUAGCCCUACACAUUUCUCUGAACUACACUUCUGCAGCUAUUAAUAUGUUUAAAUGAAAACGAAAGGAGACAGUGUAGUUUUAGAAAGAUAUUGGUUUUGUUUAGGUGUACAUGUUUAUCAGUGAUAGUGUGGAGGGUGUAAAUGUGGUCAGAUGUUCUGUGUUUGGGCUGAAAUCCAAUUUGACUUUUUUCCCAGAUUUUGUAGGUUUUGAGAAAGUUUUGUAAUCUUGUGUUAAUAAUCGAACAGAAUAUUUUCCCAGGGUUGCUAUUGACACACAUGCCUCUGUAAUUGUUUGGCUCAAACUUAAACAAGUCUCCUUGUUUAAAGAUGGGUCUAAUUAGGCCUUGAUUCCAGGUGUCUGGAAGACAUCCUACACUCAAACAAUGUUGAAUAAUUUGGUUAUUGCAGUUUUGAAUUUGUCAUUUGUAGGGCUGGACGAUAUGGCCAAAGUUUAUAUCACAAUAUAUUCGUAAUUUCGGUCGAUACGAUAGAAUUCCGAUAUCGAUAUGAACACUAUUAAAAAAGCCUCAUAAAAACUGCCAAGAAC